AAUAAAAUUUUGUGAAAUGUAGUGACUUUAAACUAAGAUAGAGUCCACGUGUAGGAAAAAGUUUGUUUAUUAAAUAAAGUUAAAAACCAAAAUAUUUAUUUCACUACCUAUGAUGUCACAUCGGUUUUUUCUUUAAUUUCAUAUGGUAUUUUAAUGAGGGGAGAGAGGUUAAGCUAAUAAGAAUAUAUUUAUUUAGUUAACUAUUUUUUAAAGUAAAGCUAUAAGCUUGCUGAGUAAGUAGAUCUUUUAAAAGGAUUUUUUGAUUGGCAGCCCAUUAAUUUUGUGAGUAUGGGCGUAACAAUAACUCAAUUCCAGUGAGAAACAUUUAUAAGUUAUAGAAAUAUAGAAUAAGUAAUAGGAAAAAAGAGCAGAAUAAAAGAGUGCCAGCAUUCGCGGUUAAACUUUUUGUCUCUAGUCGAUGAGUUACAUAUACGAGUUAUUAUAACAAUAAAAAUAAUUAUUUGUAAUAGAGACGGUAAAAUGUUACUAUAAUUUACUAUAGAGAUAGUAUGAUAAAAAUCUGAUGUUUUAAAAGUUAAAUCUCAUAAGACUGUAAGUCAAGACCGGGAUUAGCGCCCCAGUAUUUAUGUUGUCAUUUAGUAUAUGGGUACUACGAGUAUAAGCUUAAAAACCGAAGAGGUUGGCGGUGUUUCAUAUCCAGUUAGGGGAACUUGGUGGUUAAAUCGAUGAUCCUCGUAAAUUUUACCUUUAGUUUCUUUGUAUACCGCCGUUGAGAUAGUCUUUUGUGGGUAAAGAAUUUAACUAACAAUAUAAAGUUUUUAUUAUAAAUUUAGUUUUGAAAACUUCUAUUUGAAUUCAGGUAAACGUACAGGUUCUAGAGGGCUUAGCUGAGUUACAUUUUUUAUAAAUUGCGGAUAUGAUGAAUUAUAAGUUAUUGAAGGUGUACUUGUUAGUAAGAAUUUUUAUUAAAGAAGUCUGAACAGAGUUAUGAAAUGCGUACAAAUCGCCCGGCAUCCUCGCUCUACUAAGUAGGUUUAAGUUGAGGUAAGUCGUAAC
rnacentral:rRNA from 1 species